rnacentral:lncRNA from 1 species
UUCCUGGAAACUGAAACAGCAGAAAAAAAGCCGCUGGCACCUCUGAUGGACCCUGGGUCCUGUUGUGAAAGUUCACUCCUGCCCACUGCUGUGUACUCUGAAGCCCUGUCAUCUACAGUCUUGCCAUCCUGAAGGUCAGUGGGAACACAGCCCAUUGGCCAACCGUUAUCUAUGCCACUAAGGUCUUCCUUCCUAAAGUCUGUCCGGACAAGUUGCUC